rnacentral:RNase_P_RNA from 1 species
AGGGGUGAGCGCAUGAUCGCUCCGGCAGAGGCCGGAGAGGAAAGUCCGAACACCGCAGGACACAGUGGUUCGUAACGCGAACCUUGGGCAACCAAGGGAAAGUGCCACAGAAAGCAGACCGCCGAUGGAGCGUUUGCCGCUCACAGGCAAGGUUGAAAAGGCGAGGUAAGAGCUCACCGCUUUCAUGGUGACAUGAAAGGCAUGGUAAACCCCACUGGGUGCAAGACCAAAUAGGGAAGCGCCUGAGGGCUGUCCGCCCGAGCUUCCGGGUAGGUUGCAAGAGAUGCCGGGCGACCGGUAUCCCAGUCAAAUGAUCAUGGUUCGUCUCUGGCGAAAACAGAAUUCGGCUUAUAGCUCACCCCUUUUU